rnacentral:rRNA from 1 species
CCUACGGGAGGCAGCAGUGGGGAAUAUUGCACAAUGGGGGAAACCCUGAUGCAGCAACGCCGCGUGGGUGAAGGAGCGUUUCGGCGCGUAAAGCCCUGUCAGCGGGGAAGAAAAAAGACGGUACCCGCCCAGGAACCCCCGGCUAACUACGUACCAGCAGCCGCGGUAAUACGUAGGGGGCGAGGGUUAUCCGGAAUUACUGGGUGUAAGGGGAGCGUGAACGGCGAGGUAAGCCUGAAGGGGAAGCCCGCGGCCCAACCGCGGAACUGCUUUGGGAACUGUUUUGCUGGAGUAUGGGAGGGGUAAGCGGAAGUCCUGGUGUAGCGGUGAAAUGCGUAGAUAGCAGGAGGAACACCGGUGGCGAAGGCGGCCUACUGGACCAUAACUGACGUUGAGGCUCGAAAGCGUGGGGAGCGAACAGGAUUAGAUACCCGAGUAGUC